UUAUAUGCCUUAACGUUGACAAGUGUAUUCAUUGGUAUAUUGAAGUUUGACCUAUUGCCAUUCCACGGCCGCACUUAUCCGGCCAGAUGUCCUUAUCCUUUGGCAGGUGUCCUCUAGUGCUUGCUACGUCCGACUGUGCAGACCUCCUCGCAAUCUUCUCGUGCGUGUGUCGUACGAAAUUUCAUUGAAUCAAAAGCCGAUUAGCGGCUCGUACUACUUCCGGCUCUUAACGCGAAUGAGGGUGUUUUGCACGAGCCAUGAGGUUUUGAGAUCUAUCUUGUUGUCGCGGUAGUACUUGUGGUGAUCCCGUCUAUUCCCUUCACUUUUUAGCGUCUAACACCUUUCUCCAGCGGUAGAUUUACAGGGUCAUUGCCGACGGGGUAGAAGGAGACCUACUUUUACUGCCUUCUUUCGUCACCAGCACACUUAGCACACGCGCACGAACGCACGUACCCUAUUCCAAAUGUCCCUAUCCGGAAAAUACUGUGCUAUCAGACGGUGAACAGUUUAUAACCCACACGAUUCUGAUGAGUCCAAAAAAUGUUUCAAUUGCCCGUGAAAGUGCGGGUCGCCAUUACGUUGCGCCAAAGCGGUAAAGGAUACUUUAGCAAAGUAUCCUUUACCGCUAAGAACCCAUCUGCUUUCGAAGCUACUUGCAGUCCAUAGAUUACUCUGGUCCACCGCUGGCUUGCCAGUAGAUGCAUCGGCAUUUUUGUAGAGAUUUGAGGUGACCACGCCCGUACACUGCUCCUAUUAUGCAGCACCAGCACAGUUUCGCACUGCUUACACAAGAAAUUUACGUAAACUCUGAUUUCAGAGUAUGAAGUAACCCUCGCUGUCGUGAGUUAGUUACGAAAAUGUAUUGAAAAGCUAAGUAACUUGGAAAAAAUGACGCCAUCGCUUGGCCUUGUUUUGCCGGGCGACAGCAGUAUGAUACUUUACGUUGUGAAUAGGUUCUGGAUGCCCUACUCAUCAUUCGACCCGUGCAAUUUCCUGGGACUAUUUGCUUUAUGUUAGGAAAUGGGUGAAUCGAUUAAUAUUACUAUUCGUUAUGUCCUUAUUUCGUCUAGUGGCGAUGGUAACGUAGUUGUUCGGUUAACAUAAACUACGCAGGCCAAGCUGCAACAAAUUAUUGCUAAUGCUGUCAAUGUGAUUUGUUUUGGGUAAACAACGACCUGAAUGUAGGCACAAAUGGAUAAUCUUUGAUCUACAAUAACGAUGUAUGCAAUAUAGGCUGUAGUCAGUGCUUUACGGAAGCGUUUACCUCGUCUCUUCAUGUCAUGGCAGGGCUUCGAUUGGAGCUCAGCGGUUCUUUUCGUUAAGUGUAUUUAGCCACGGUCCAUUAUUCCUCAUUUGGUCAUCGCAGCGCUUCUUAACCGGAUAAACAUUAGGCCGAAGUUUUUGUUAGCCCGGUAAUCAGCAGCUCACCAUGGUGUACCUAAACGACCGUUGGAAACUACAUGCUAUGAGAUUUUAAUAGCGUGAUGGAGAAAGUUGUGCGUUACGGUUACGGACACAAAUUAUUGUUAAAUCUAUAGUGUACUUCAGGUCAAACUGCGCACAGAAAUAUACAAUUCAAAAGCAGAACAGUCGUGAAUCUAUACGGCUGUCGCUUCCAUCUGAGGCUAGAAGUGAGAGAAAGAAAGUCUGAAUGACUUUCUUUCCGAAGCGCUCUGUACUGCGACCAUGCAAGAGUCAAGCAUUCGACUGCUGUUCUAUCGCCUCCUUACCAAACGAAUGGGUUUCGUCGUUACCUACAAAUACAGACGAUCCAAUUAUAAUAGACACUACCUUCCGUGAUUGUUAGCGGCUAUUUUGCAACAAAAUUUGCAUACUCGAAUAUUGCCAAGGUUUCACUGCGAUCUUCACGUUAGUUCUCUUACGGCAUCCCGUAUGCAUCCACUGUCUCCGUGAGGGGCUUCCGCUGUCUGUAUCCUGACGGGCGACGUUACCUUCGGCCACCUCGACGUCCUUCUAAUCUACGGAGCAUUGUUCAAUGUACUGUUCUCUCCCUGACCUUUUUUCUAUUUUGAUAUUUCAAAAAGCAAAAGUGCUCGUUAUCGAAUAGGUGCCCAGGUUAAAGAGGACUCGAAAUUCCGUCUAUUGUUUGGAACCCGCCGCCGCCGCCGCCACUACUAGCGCCGUUGAGUAUUUGGUUAAAAGCAAUGCUUUUUCGCAGGAUUUAUCCACGGAAUCUUACUGCACAUCUAUUCUAAGUAAAUGGUUUUGACACACAUGCUGUUUCACUCGGACUAGGUAUACGAGGGUUAGCCAUGUAAAGGAUGGCACGGUCUAAGUAGCUGCUGUCAUUAUUUUAAUACAGUGCCUUAAGAAUUGUAACGGACAUUCAAUGCUCUUAAUGCUGCUUCAGAUAUCAAUAUUGAUUCAAAUGAUGAUCAGAUACAAAUGGUGCUCGGAUAAUAACCGGGACAUGUUUAUAGAUAAAAAUAAAACACUAUUAAUCAUGCAACUUCUACUACUGUUAAAUUGCCAAACGAAUCUAGUUUAAGAAACUCUGAUUGACUACAGUAAAAAUUAAGUGUGUAUAAGGUUGAUUUAUUUUUUUUGUGAGCCUAUUGCUUGAUUGUCCUGAUCAUGUCAAUCUAUCAAUAGACUAUUAGAUCUUACGUUUAGUCACGUCUAGUCUCGUGUUGCAAGGAUACAUCGAGAAUCUUCUCUAUGAAUCUUUUGGCUUCUUCUCAGAUCUGACGAUUAGAACGUGCGUCAAUGCGAUGACCUUUAGCUAGUGCAAAUAGGUGAUAUAUGUCACUAUUGUAUUUAUAGCGUCAACCGCGCGUCAUCGUCAAUUUGUUUGAGGCACUUUCAGUGGUCUCAUUGGGACUAACAAGAACUAGAAAUCCUUACACUACGAUGCUGCCUCGACGAUACAGUUUACGAACGCAAACAUCCGCCCACAAAACGAACUUGCCCGAUGCACAGAAAAGCAAGUGUGCAGGAAACACCGAGUAAAGGCAUAACACAUAUGGUCUAAGUUUUUCUUGCCAAGUACAGGAUAUCAACAGGCAACCUUGUGGACCAGUCAGGAUUGCAUUAAGCGUUAUAUUUAUUAUUACUUUCGCUGCUCUGUGCAGUCAGCGCACCUCGUCGUUUCGUAACCUUUUCUUUGACCAACUUUUUCACGGCUCCGGAUAGUUAAGAAGGAACUCUUCCUCGUUGA